rnacentral:rRNA from 1 species
GUGGGGAAUUUUGGACAAUGGGGGCAACCCUGAUCCAGCCAUUCCGCGUGAGUGAAGAAGGCCUUCGGGUUGUAAAGCUCUUUCGGCAGGAACGAAACGGUGAGCUCUAACAUAGCUCGCUAAUGACGGUACCUGAAGAAGAAGCACCGGCUAACUACGUGCCAGCAGCCGCGGUAAUACGUAGGGUGCGAGCGUUAAUCGGAAUUACUGGGCGUAAAGCGUGCGCAGGCGGUUGUGUAAGACAGGUGUGAAAUCCCCGGGCUUAACCGGGGAACUGCGCUUGUGACUGCACGGCUAGAGUAUGGCAGAGGGGGGUGGAAUGCCACGUGUAGCAGUGAAAUGCGUAGAGAUGUGGAGGAACACCGAUGGCGAAGGCAGCCCCCUGGGCCAAUACUGACGCUCAUGCACGAAAGCGUGGGGAGCAAACAGGAUUAGAUACCCGGGUAGUCC